AAAGGCUCGAUGCGGCGGGAAGGUGCCGGGACGGAGGCCCGGGAAUGAUGGGGGCAUCUCAGUGCUCCCCGCCCUCCAAUCCCUUUCAGCCGUCACGGCACCCUGGGAGGGUCUCGGUGUCCCGCAAACGUGGCCUCGGGUGGCGGAGUGGCCGUGGCGUGUUCCCAGUGCGAACAGUGUCAGACUCGGACAGGUGGCAGCUGUGGCAGCCCUUUGGCAUCCGCUUGGUUUUGAUACGGACCCCUUAAAAAGCAAGGCAACAUCCCGCAGCUUCAUAAAACAUAAUCUGAGCUAGCACAGUGAGAUCUGGUUAUUUCCUAAUCUUGCAUUAAACUCAUUCACUGAAGGAGAAGAAGGAAUAGCUAGCAUGCCACCAGAAAAAAUCAAAAAGACAAUUUCCAAAAUGUAUCAACUGAAAUUCUCAUAAAACUUGACCAGACCCUGCUAAGUGACUAGAAACAGGAAAAACUGUUGCAAUCCUGUGAUGAAUCAGUAGGAUUUUGAGAGAAAAUGAAAAAUGGGUGCCUGCCACAGACAGUUCACAGCCUGGCUUUCUGAAGAGACAAUACAGAUAAUGGAAAGAAGCAAAUAGUGUGGAAUUCUCCCACCAAUGAAGGAGUCUGGUCCAGGCACAAGAACCACAAGUAUACCAAUGGAAGUUAAUCUGGGAGUUGGCCAGAAAACCAAUAAAGGGCCCACAGGAACUUGAUCCAGAGAAAUUUUGUUUUGUCCUAAAAAAAUACUUGCAAAACAGAGACUCGUUGCUGCUUUCAUGGGUUUGCUGCUGAUUUGAUCCUUUUCCACUUGCAAGCCUUCAUUGGUAUUGGCUGGAUUGAUGUUUGCCUCUGAGAUCAAGAUGCAUGAUUCUCUCAUCUCACAGCUGCUUGGGAACAUUCAACAGGAAAGCCUGAGGAAUUGUUCUGCACUUUAAGGAAGAACUAAAGGAAAGUGAAGAAGGGAACCACGUACAGAAAAGGGUUUCAGCAGAUGUGCUCACAGCCUGAUAUAUUUCACAGAACCUUCCAGUUCAGAAGACUACUUCAGAAGACUACUUCUGUGCUUUUACUCACAAUGUAGAACGGCAUAGAAAGAGGUACCCAGUCAGUUCUCUAUUUGCUGUCUCUGAAUAAUUUGUUCAAAUACUAACAGUGAUUUGUAGAAGAAACAUACUUCUAGCUUUUAAUUCCAACCAGUCCAAACUAAGCAUGUCAGGCUAUACCUGUCUGGUAAAUUGUAUAAUUUUCCCACAUAGAAAUACAAUAUUUUACUGAAUUAAUCCAAAACUUUGUCUUAAAUUCCCACUCAUAUUGAAGAGGAAAAUAAAAGGAUAAUUGGAAUAAAAGUUUUCAACAAUGAAGAAUUCAAACAACAAAUCUAUUGAAUGUUGUGUAGUACGAAUUAAGAAAUUGAUGUGGUUUUUGUGUUUCCUCUAUAAGGCUUUUGUGGUUCCUCUGCUUUAGUCUUUAUUUGUAGCAAGCUAUGAAAGUGGUAAAUAGUAGAAGGGAAAUCAACAUGUUCAGCUCCUUCUCCAAAAUGAGGAAGUUUGUCACACAUUUUGUGAGAGAAGACAAGUGCACAAACAGUCAGCACUGCACCCAUUCUACGCAGGUUCAGCCACACACAGUCUGGAGAACAGACCUUAGCAGCACACAGAGGCAGCAGUUGGGCUACAGGCACUAGUUGUAACAAGGAAAACUGAAAUGAGAUACCAGGAAACAAUGAUUCACUAUGUAGGAGGUCAAACGCUAGAACAGGUUAGCAGAGAAAAUGUGAAAACUCCAUCCUUAGAGAUAUUCAGACUUGCCCAGACACAGUUCCUGAUGCAAAUAGCCUUGUGUUGAGCAGGGCUUUAGACCAGAUAGGUGGCCUAAUUUUCUUCCUAAAUUGCUCUAUGACUUUAUGACCCUGUAGAGUGACCUUGCAAGUUGCUGAAAAGAGGAAAGCCCUGACCCCACACUUCCCAUAAAGUUUCUUUUAAAAAUAUUGGCAAUAUCACCCCUUUCUUGAGUCACUGUGAGACAAAUGAAAACGAUGUUUAUGAUGGAGCAAUCUGCCUAUAAACUAUGGUCACGUCCACAAAUUGUGUUGUAGUUAGGAAGAAGAUGAAGCCAAAUUACUCACAGCUAAUUCUUGAAAAAAAAAAAAAACCAAGACUAAAUAAGACACAAGAAAAAAAUACAAACCUCUCUCUUUUCCAGGAAGGAAGAUCUAUCACAUAUCUCUGGAAAUUGAGCUCUAUAGUGAGACCAUAGUGAGAACACAUGAGUCAUGAUUGAUAUGUCUGGGAUUCAUCUUUUUGUGAGAAUGGUUCCCAUUCCCAGAUAAUGGCAAUCACAUUUAAUGAUAAUUUCACUAAAUUGGACAUUUUAACGUUUUUUUGGUCUAUUUUUUCUUUAGUGAAAUUCUCAUGAGCAAAAAAAUAUGAAAAAUAGAUGGAUGGACUACAUGGGUGCCAAUACCUUAAUAUAACCUUAAAAUUAAAAAUAACCAUUGAAGCUAUAGGUAGUUGUUUUACCUGGGCCAAAUGAGACAUAACUGUACCUCCUGGGAAUGUUUCCAGCAUAAACCUUAUUCUGAGACAUGCUUGCCUUCUUUGCAGUCUGGCUCUUUUGUCUGAUAAAGUGCUAAUGAGGUGCAGGAAUGGCUCUGUUCACCUCCAGGUUGUUGAAUGCCUUGUAAGAACUCCAGUCUUCUCUCUUAGGUUUGUAUCUUCUCUAAUCUAGGUUACAGCUGAACAACCAGGAAUAGUUUCUUUUUAGUAUCACAGGCUGGCAGCCUUAUUCAAAUUGAACAGUUCUUUGCUUUCAGCGUGAUGUCCUAAAAUGUGGAAACCCAGUUCAUCCUGCAGAGGUUGAUCUGCACAGGACAAGGUGUGAGGUUAGAGCUUGAGGUGGGACAUCUGGCAAGCAAGUGUGGAACAGUACAGUACUCAUGUAGAGUAAAACUGUGUAGAAUGAAAUUAUUUGUGAUUUGCUUCAUGCACAGAAGUCUUCCUGCAUAAAAUCUUCAAGAAAGACCUCACUAGUUACUUGAGGAAACAACUAAAAGACUGAGGUUUAUUUUCAUCACAUAUGUGUUAGUAUUUAGAAGCAUAUGUAUUUGGCAUGAGAACUGAUGUAGAAAUUAUGGCUAAGAUCUUUAGUUCAAAACAACAGUAUCAAACUUUCAUUUUAACUUUCAAGGGAGUGGUUCAAGUGUGAGAAGGGGGAGAGAGGAGAGCACAGGGAAUAUUCAGAAAAUCUCAACAAAAAAUAUUUCUUAAAUAGGAAAAGAUUUUGCUAGCUCAAAAGAACAAGAAAAUCUGGUAGUUGUGCUGCAUCUACAUAAGAGAUGCAUACUAGGAAUCAAAAUCAAAAAUUGUGGUUUUAAUUACUGUAUGUUCAGUGUACGAUAAGGUAUUCUUAUCAAAGUAACAGAAUUAUUGAAUCUGUCUGACUUUUGAGUUCAGUAUAUAAAUUUAUAUGCAAUAUUUUCUUCCAUUUAAAUCUCAUUAGUUUCUAUACUGCAUUUAUGAAUUUAUUCUUUAUGCAUAAUAACCAAGAAUUAUCUCAAAAAAACCUCACAAUACUGAGACACCCCUUUAAGUUCCUGAUUAGAAAGUAUUUACUAGGAAUUGGUUUAAUCUCAUCUGAGCAUUAGCCGCGUCUAAUCAGUCACUCUAGUAACUGGAGAGAAUCCAGGUUUUCCAGUGCAUAUUUUAUCUGGACUCGAGGACAAAAAACUUCAGAAUGAGAUGAACCCCACUAAAAUACAACUUACCCAAUCUGCUUCAGUUAGCACAGAAAGGUUACUCUCCUGUAGUCAUCUAGUUCUCUUCAAUACUUUUAGAGAAAGUGUACAUAAUUAUUUGUGAUUCAGUGUCUGACUUUCAGGUGACUGAAGUAAAUACAUAGCUUAGAAAAUAUUCACCAAAUGUUAUUCCAAGAAAAUCCCACAACUUAUCGGCUGUGGUAAAACCAAGUUCUGUUUCCAGAGAAAAACUUAUAAUAUCUUUAAUACAAGCCUAUUAGCAUAAUUAAUAUGAUACAACUGAGCAAAGUAACAUUAAGAGAGAAAUAAUUUAAAUUUUGCCAGGAAUCACAUCCAGGUUUUGCAUUACUCUUUCAGUACCCUAAUGCAUGGAGCCCUUUCCAAUACGUCUCCUGUCCCAGUUGCCACCUACUGCAAUGACUGGCAGGCAGCAAUGGCUCCAUAUGGCCUUUUCAUUUCUUAUUGUCAUUUCUGGCAUGUGUCACAAUAAUUUUUGGCCCACCAGAAAGGUGUGGUGGUGCUGGCAUACAGCAGUAGGACAGGAAGAGCUCACUUUUGUGCAUGUAGAAAAGGUCCCUCAUUCUGGUCACAGUCACCCUGGACAUCUGUGAUUAAGCAGACUUUGUCAGAAGCUUUGGAUCCACUUGCUCUGGUGUCCUAUUCACUGUCUUAAAAAAAAAAAAAAAAAAAAAAAAAAAAAAAAAAAAAGCAAAUUAUUAUCAGUAGCAGUUCCACUACAUUAUAUGUUCAUCCCCAUAAUAAAUUAUCAAAACCAAAUUAUUGCUCAGGUUUUGAAAAUUAUUUCAAAGACUUAAUAUUCUUUUAUUUAAUUUAGUUGAUGCAUUUAGUUUGACAAAGAAUAAUUUUUAAUAUUUAGUAGAAUAAAACAAAUUACUUUUGCAAACCAUGGGAAGACUAUAUCUCAAGCAUUGACAAACAAAGAAAUGCAUACAGGAUAUCCAUGCACAUGGCAAAAUCUCAGUCUGCAGUUGGCCUAGUAAGAGAACUACUGCUGAGAAGUCAAGGUCAUUUCCAGUGUGUUAAUCUCAAAGCAUCAGGACAUGAUCAUGCUUUUAGUUUGGUAAAUAUGGAAAAUCCACAGAGUUGUCUGGGUAAUUAAAACAUUGGAUGCCCCACUGGUCAUUCCUAACUCAGUUAUCAGCAAGAAUCUCACUAAUCAUAAGUCAGGGAUGAGUCUGUGCAUGUGCUGUACAUGUGGCUUUCUGCAUAUGUCUGCACAUCAUUUCACAGGAAACUAUUUCACACUACACCAGCUUGGUGAGUAGCUGUUGUUCACACCCACCAAGAAAUAAGUACAUGUGAGAAUAAUACCUUUACAACUUUGAAAUGUCCUUAGACAGACUUUUAAUCUCCAGGCCAUCAACCUGCUGUGAACUCUCCUCCUGACUUUUCACACUUAGAGAGAACAGGAGUCAAGCAACACACCAUAAGGCAAUAUGAAAAGACAGAAAAAUUCUGGGAAGUGCAAAAUUAAGUGCAAAUAAAAAUAUGUCAUCCUUUAAAAA
rnacentral:lncRNA from 1 species